GGUGCAGCAACUGGACGAUGAAGGGGACCAGUGUGAGUGGACGGUGGUACUACACGGGACGAUACACAGUAGCCUGGAACUGCAUGGAAGCUGGCAGAAACCAGUGGCACUAGACGAUAACGGCGGUCUGGAACUGUGUGGAUGGUGGCCUGAAACUGUGAAGAGGGAUGGAGAGGUUCAAAAUUAAAUUAGACAUAUAAUAUCAUGAACUCCACAGCAUUUCUCGUAAUUUCAAACUUAAUAG
rnacentral:lncRNA from 1 species